UAACAAAUUCUUGGUAUGGCUUUCUUUUUUUUUUCUUUUCUUUUCUUUCUUUUUUUUUUAAUAUUGGAAAGCCACUUAGGAAUCCACAAAGUCAAAAGCUUGCUUGUAAAAAUUUCUAGUUCCUUAACUCUAGUGCUUGUAAGUUGCAAAUGCUGUUUUUAGAAUAACUGCUGUUAAUAAGCAAGCUUUUCCAAUCAGUUUUGAAUGGAAUAUUGAAACAUGAAAGAUAAACUGUAGUUACAUUAGUUUUAUUAUUCUUAUAAUUUUCUGUUCCCUGUGUGUUCUAAGAGGCAGAUUAUAAUCUGUUAAGAAAGGCUGAUGCUUCAGUCUAGAAGAAACCUCUUUUAGAUGAGAAGGGAAAGAUGCCUGAGGUGUUUGAUGUGGGAACCUCUGUCAUACUGUGUUAUCUGGAAAUAAGAAUGGAAAGUCAAUGAGAUUCAGCAGUUACUACCAUAGAAACUAGAGAGACAGAAAAGGAAGAAUCCUGCCAGAUGCAGUCUUGGGUAUCGUAGAAAAUCCCCUCAUUUGAAUCCAAAUCCUAUUUGCAUUGUGUUCAAUAGCAAAAUUCCAACAUAACAGCAGAUUUGGAAGGGACCUUAUCAGAGCCUUAUUUCAUAGCCUGUGACAAUAAAUCAUCUUCCUUAAAACAGUUUUCAUGCAUUUCUGUAUGACCUCAAAACUUCUCCUAUAACUACAAAACAACAAAGAGAUAUUUACUGUGCAAGGGCUAAUGUAAGGCAACUGUAAAAGUGAUCUGCCUGAAAUGUUUUAUUUUGCUGGGCUGUGCAGUUCAGUUUGGUGUUUCAAGAGUCACAGCAAUUCUGCAGAUUCAUGGCUUCCCUGAGAGCUGUGAUGGCAAACCCUUGCACUGCUCCGCUCUCAUUGCAGUGGCUGGGCCUGUGUCCAGUACUUGAUAACCAAGUUAUCUCACAAAGUGAUACAAAACCCCUUUUGAUUUAAUGAAAGAGGACAUUCUUCUGUCAGUUGGUAGAAUUUAAAAGUCCACAGGUUCUGGAUCCAAGAAGACACUUAGGGGUUCUUUUAUCUCUGAGCAUGCAGCCUGGGCAAGUCACAGACUCUUGCAGCCCCAUUGACAUCCCCAGGACUCAGCACUGGUGCAUAUCUCCAAGGUUUAUUGGUGCUUUCAGGAGGUUUAAAUUAAAACCAGCCAUUCAAACAAGAUAUUCUCAGUUCCAGUUUCAUGAGCCACACUUCAUCUUUAUUACCUGUGAGUGUUUCUUCCUAUGUGUUGCCUGUAUCUCCUGAUAGCGAUGAACUGUAAUUCACUUUGAGAGAGUUGAGAAUAUAAUUUCAUCACUUGGGCAUACUAUUUCCCCUGAAUGCCAUGCUAGGAAUGUAUUAAUAUCUCUUUUAUAUGCCAGAGGAAUGUGGAAUAUGCAUACUGGCAGUGUGUUUGGAGCCCAAGGGAGGGCAAGUGAGGAGAGGCUGGGCUGAUGGAAAUGCUGUUCCCUGCGGGAGUUAGGAGUGGUGGAAUUUGCUGUGCCACGCUUUCAUACUGAGCCUCUUCUCUGCUUUGCCAGUGGCAUCCCUACACAAUGUUAUAUCAGCUAUUCCCGGCCCUUCACCGACACCACCCUCUUUUGUGUGACCUUAGGUCAACCCUGGGCAAAAUACAAGGAACUGGAUGAUGCAGUUUCUUCCUGAGCU
ensembl:lncRNA